rnacentral:rRNA from 1 species
UACGUAGGGUGCAAGCGUUGUCCGGAAUUAUUGGGCGUAAAGAGCUCGUAGGCGGUCUGUCGCGUCUGCUGUGAAAACCUGGGGCUUAACCCCGGGCCUGCAGUGGGUACGGGCAGACUAGAGUGCGGUAGGGGAGACUGGAAUUCCUGGUGUAGCGGUGGAAUGCGCAGAUAUCAGGAGGAACACCGAUGGCGAAGGCAGGUCUCUGGGCAGUUACUGACGCUGAGGAGCGAAAGCAUGGGGAGCGAACAGG